ACCCCAUUCCCCAUUUCCCCAUCCGUGCGAGUGCGCCGGCGGCCAGGAGCGGCGGGUGGAGCAUUGCGGCCAAAUCUGCCGCCCCGCUAGCCGCCGGCCAUGGAGGCCGCCGCAGCGCCAGCGGCACCCGUCCCCGACCAGGGGGGUUCCCAGUGGACCGCAUCGAAGACGGCACGGAGGCGCGACUCCGACGAGAGCGCCGCCGAUUUCAUCAGCAGGGUCCCCGACGCCGUCCUCUGCACCAUCAUCUCCCUCCUCCCCACCAAGGACGGCGGCCGCACGCAGGUCUUCUCCCGCCGAUGGCGCCCCCUGUGGCGCUCCGCCCCUCUCAACCUCGAGGUCCGCGUCCCAUACCCCGGCCGCGGCGUCCGCACCUCCUCCGUCGCCCCCGAUGUCGUCCCCAAGGUAAUCUCGCAGCAUCCUGGUCCCGCCCGCCGAUUCUGCUUCCACGGCCUCCGCCCCGGCGACCUCCACGACCAGGCGGAGAGCUGGUUCCGCUCCCGGGCCCUCGCCAACCUUGAGGUGCUCGAAGUCGGCUACAAGGUCCACGGUGAAAAAGAGUUAGAAGAACUUAUUCUGGCGAGAAUUUCCCUGCCGCCAUCCGCCUUUCGCUCUGCAUCUACCCUCCUCGUUGCCGAGAUCGGCUACUGUGAUUUGCCCCGAGAGAUGGUGCCGUCCAUGGGCUUUGACCUCCUCGAGCUUCUCUCCUUGAUCUCCGUUUCCAUCUCAGUGGAGGUCUUCCGCGGACUGCUCUCUGCUUGCCGUGCCUUGAAGAGCUUACACAUGUCCGGAGUUCGUGGUGCUAGUUGCCUCCAUGUUCGCUCGCCGACUCUUAGGAGUAUAUGCUUCCGUGACAGCUCUGGUAAAGUAGAGCUUGUCAUCGAGGAUGCGCCUCGCCUUGUGAGGUUACUAAUGCCUUUUGGUUCCCGAGAUGAUUGUGGUACUAUCCGGGUAAUUUCUGCGCCUAAACUGGAGAUAUUGGGCCCUUUGUUACCUGUUGUCUCCAAGCUCCUAGUCUCCCAGGGAAUAAGUUCAGCCGGCUCGGGAAACUCGAUGUAUACCGUGAAGAUUUUGGCUCUCAGGUGUUCUGGAUAUGAAUUGGAUGGAGUUCUUAAUAUCCUUAGGAGGUUCCCCUGUCUUGAGAAGCUCUAUGUUAUUUUUCACAAACACAAAGAGAUGGAUAAGAAAAUUGAGCCUCAGUAUGACCGACUACAUCCAAUUGAAUGCCUUCAAACCCAUCUCAAAACAGUGGUGUUUGAAGUAUUCAUGAGCCAUGAUAAACAGCUUGAGUUUGCCAAGUUCUUUGUUUUGAAUGCAGAAGUGCUAAAGAAAAUUGAAUUUGAUGGAAUAUAUGGGGCCUACAACAGUAUAUCGCUGGCUUACCAACACAGGCUGCUAAGAGUGGAAAACAGAGCUUCUCGAGAUGCUCAAUUUGAAUUCAUGAAUAGACAUCGUGAUACUGAGAAACAUCUCAACAAGCAUAAUUUGUCAGUGGCUGACCCCUUCCAACAGCCAUAGACAGGGUUGAUGCCUGAAGAUUUCACUGUUCUUAGUGUCUUGUGAAAUAGUGCACUGUGGAAAAUUUCUGAUGGGCAGGGAUGCAAAAAUAUUACUUCCAAAAUUUGUAGCUGUUAAGUGUGUUUCAAAGAAAAGGAAUAUCAAAC
rnacentral:rRNA from 1 species